rnacentral:rRNA from 1 species
AACGAACGCUGGCGGCAUGCCUAACACAUGCAAGUCGAACGAGACCUUCGGGUCUAGUGGCGCACGGGUGCGUAACGCGUGGGAACCUGCCCUUAGGUUCGGAAUAACUCCCCGAAAGGGGUGCUAAUACCGGAUAAUGUCUUCGGACCAAAGAUUUAUCGCCUUUGGAUGGGCCCGCGUUGGAUUAGCUAGUUGGUAGGGUAAAAGCCUACCAAGGCGACGAUCCAUAGCUGGUCUGAGAGGAGGAUCAGCCACACUGGGACUGAGACACGGCCCAGACUCCUACGGGAGGCAGCAGUGGGGAAUAUUGGACAAUGGGCGAAAGCCUGAUCCAGCAAUGCCGCGUGAGUGAUGAAGGCCUUAGGGUUGUAAAGCUCUUUUACCCGGGAUGAUAAUGGCAGUACCGGGAGAAUAAGCUCCGGCUAACUCCGUG